UUCAGUUAUAAGGUAACACUGCUAGCGUGCGGAUCUGGACCAGCUCAAAUUAUGGACGGCUUGGUGCGUGAUUACCGACAAUCAUUUCGCCGACAAAAUUUACAUCAACACCAGUUUGAUUGACACCAGUUUCACCCACAUUGUUUAUUCACCGAUAAUGUUUUCGUCAGCGUUCGUUUCACUGGUACAGAAUUUUAAUUUAUAUACAGGGUGUUCAUUGUUCACGUUGUUAGAUCAUUUUUCUCGUAAAAGAUAAGAGGAAUGAGCGAGUGGUUCAACACGAAUAACGUAUUCACGGUAUUUUGUUCACAAGCGUAAAGAUCUGUGUGCGUUUUGCAUACGUCGAAUCCUCUCGUCAUUUUAAUUAAAAAAGCUACAGUGCUGUGGAUAUUUGUAGACUGAAACACAUUUUCCGCGUUGUUGCUUCAAGAUUGAUAGAAGAAAUAAGAGACAAAGUGGGAACUUAUAAGAAAAUUAACACUGAGUUUGCACUUUUUCACGGCCAAAGAUUCAGUCUCGCUAUCGUGAAAAAUCUAAAAAUGGGCUUGAGUUUAUAAUUGCUCACGACACUGUAUAUAUUAGGGAAACAUCGACUGCGAUCGAUUAGUUUGGAAGAUAUUUUCACUCCAAUUUUGUCGCAUACCAUAUGAAAAAAAGGAAAGACGAAGUACUUUUGUGUUUAUGUUUCCUUUGUCUUACAUACAAUAAAUUUUGCAAAAUUAAAGAUACAAAAAAAGAGAAAGAGAAAAUUCUACAAAGUUAAAAUAUCAAAAUUAAACCAAUCAGUUUUCAACUCUGUUGCUCUAAUAUCUUUUUUAAGGUUUCCAUAAGAGAAGGUUUCUAUUAAAAAAAAAAAAAAAAAAAUAAUAAUGCAACUGCGUAAGACACAAAGAUAUUAUCGCGAAUAUGUAGUUCACCUUGAACCAUUCAUCCUUUUCCUCUUUCAUUUUUCCUCUCAACUUCACUUAUCGCUUACGAGAAAAACAUUGGGAACUAAUCAAUCUUGAACAGUGUACACACUUUAUAUAUCUGUAUAUUUUCAAAUAUCAUUGAAAAAUAAACGAAUCUGUCAAAGAAAAAGAUAGUUUUAUCGCGUGACUUUGUUGAUUAUAUAUAAGAGAAAAAAUAAAAGGAAAUACGGUAAAAAUACGACAAGAUAGUAAUAUAGUUACCAGUGAUCACACAUCAAUCUUAAAUGUAUAAAUACGAGAAAUGAAAUAUCUUCCAAUAUUAUCAAAAACUAAAUGGAGAAAAUAAUCGAGGAAAAUAAUAUUUUUAUCGUGUGAUUUUGUUGAUUAUAUAUAAGAGAAAAAAUAAAAGAAGUAAUAAAACGGUAAAAAUACGACAAGAUAGUAAUAUAGUUACCAGUGAUCACACAUCAAUCUUAAAUGUAUAAAUAAGAGAAAUGAAAUAUCUUCCAAUAUUAUCAAAAACUAAAUGGAAAAAAUAAUCGAGGAAAAUAAUAUUUUUAUCGUGUGACUUUGUUGAUUAUAUAGGAGUGAGAAAAUUGAAGGAAACACGAUGGAAAUGUAACAAUCUUGCAGAUGUAUCGCUACAGCUGUACUACCUGCCAAUAAUAAAUGCCUGUUAUAUGCACAAAUA